rnacentral:rRNA from 1 species
UGCCUUCGGGAACUGUGAGACAGGUGCUGCAUGGCUGUCGUCAGCUCGUGUUGUGAAAUGUUGGGUUAAGUCCCGCAACGAGCGCAACCCUUAUCCUUUGUUGCCAGCGGUUCGGCCGGGAACUCAAAGGAGACUGCCAGUGAUAAACUGGAGGAAGGUGGGGAUGACGUCAAGUCAUCAUGGCCCUUACGACCAGGGCUACACACGUGCUACAAUGGCAUAUA